AAAAAUUGAAAAAUAAUUUAAAAAAAACGGUGGGGGGGAUGUUUAAAAUUAAAAGGCUCGGCCCGGAGUUUAAAACAAAGAGGCGGAAAUAGCCGAGCGCGGCCCGAGAGGAGCCGAGUGGGGGCACCGCGCUCAGGGCGCAUGCGCCGGGCUCGGGGCUCGCGGCUCGCGGCUCGCUGCUCCCUCCCCCGAGGAGCGGCCGGCUCACGCGCGUGCGUGCCGGGAGGCCUGGGGGCUGCGGGGGCCUCGUGCCGGGAGGCGGUUGCUGGGCGGGGCGUGCUGUCCUGUACCCUCGGUAUCGCCGAUCCGGGGUGCUCCGGGACGUGCGAGGGUCACAGACUCACUAGCUCAAGUUCCGUCUGGAGUUCCAGCCUGCCCAGUACAGUAGUGCAGCAGGAACAGCAGCAAUGCUCUGGCUCUCUACCAGCCCAGGCACGUGGCCAUGGCUGUUACCAAAAUGAUCCCAGGCACAGCAAAGCAACAUGCUGAGAAGUACAGCAAAGGAAUAGAGAAAAAGGCAGAAAUAAAAGCAGCCAGUAACAAGCUCUGAACUCUUACAUACAGUAAGGCUGGACCUCUCCUCAGUAGCCCUGAUGAACUCCUGCAGCUAUCUGUGAAGCAAACGAGUGUCUGGGCUGUAUGAAGCAUGGGAAACGGGCUCCAGGCUGUUACCUUUGUCACUGAGAAGAGCCCACGGUCCUGAACUGUGGUGGAACUCGGAUGCAGUGGGGUCAACAGCAGGGUAAUAUCAGACCCAAGGAAAGGACACUCUAAGGCCUACAGUUUCUGAUAAGCAACAUUUCAUCUUUGGGGUGGAGAUACCAUGUUAUACUCGUGCAAAAAGUAAACCUCAUUUCACUGUCUGUGAGUCGGUGAUUUGGGUUUUCCACAUUGUUGGUUCUAUUGAUCAAAUGUCAUACUUGAAGAAAGAAAUGUGAGGAAGAGCACAGAAAUAAACAGGUCUGGAAAAUAUGACCUAAGAUGACUAGGGGAGAAUGGAAUUAGUCUAAAUGCAGUUGAAGGAGACACAUCAAAAAUAGCUGAAAGUUUUGAGAUGGUUGAGUGAAUAUUUUUCCAGUGUCCAACUAUGAAGAUGCAGAGAAGGUGUAUAGUCUCUUGGAUGGCCAAGAAGAGGCUAAGCAAGCAUCUACCAGAGGCUCACAACAAAUAUGUCCAUAAAUCCAGCUGAUCUUACCUUGAAAGCUACAUGGGAAAAACAAACAAAAAAGCAAACAAGCAAAAAAAAACCCACAUAACAAACAAAAAAGCAAGCAAGCAACCAAGAGAUAAAUGAA